rnacentral:rRNA from 1 species
GGUGAUUGGUUAAAAAUGCUUAGGCGUAAAGUUAAAAUAGUGAGAGUUUUCGUACUAGUAAAGGGUGAAAUCAAUCUUCUGUUAUAUGAAAAAUUUUGCUUUAGGUUAAUUAAGCCGAGGUUGUUAAGGUUGGGAAAUGAACCAGGAUUAGAGACCCUGCUACACCUAACUUUAAAGUUUAAUACCUGGGUAGUAAGCAGUUAUUAUCUUGAAACUUAAAGGAUUUGGCGGUAACUUAGUCUAGUUAGAGGAACCUGUCCUGUAAUCGAUAAACCACGAAGCAUCUUACUUUACUUUGAAAAUUUCAGCCUAUAUACCAUCAUUAUUAGACAACUUCAAAAGAAGAAAAAGUUGUUGAAAUAGUUUUUAAGCUAGUAUAUUAGAUCAAGGUGUAGCUAAUAGUAAAGAAGAGAUGGGUUACAAUAACACUAAUUUAUAUAAACGAAUCUAAGAAGGAACUUUUUUAGUGAAGGAGGAUUUAAAUGUAAAUAGAUUUUAAUAUGAUCUUUUGAUUAUAGCCCUAGGUUAUGUACACAUCGCCCGUCGCUCU